rnacentral:lncRNA from 1 species
GUAACCAUCUCGAUGACUCUGCAACAUCGGAGAAAUCAACAGUUCCUUGCCUUAAUUUCAAAUCAGGAUCAAUACAAAAGGGCUUAAACCGUGAUAAUGACGAGAAAAUACAUGGUAUUUGAUGCUUCAGGACUAAUAAUACUGGCAAGUCUUUCACCAAUCAUAAUGGACCAAACCUGCUUCCUAGACUGCAACAUAACUGACCCGAGGAAAGGUCACAGAAACAAACAAACAAACAAACAAAAUCCACCACAUUGAAUUAGAAGACAGUGGUAAGCGAGACAUGGCCAUGUGAGAAUGCUGCCAAUGAGACACAACCAGAAGUCUGCUAGUACUUUCUCUUCUUUUGCCUCACACAUGGAUAUAGUAUUGGAGGUACAGCUCUGUUGCUACCAUCAGGCUAAAAGGCAAAAGCCGAGGGUGGUGGACAAAGAAGACAGAAAAUCUGAAUCCU